rnacentral:tRNA from 1 species
GGAGAGGUGGCAGAGCGGUUGAAUGCGGCGGUCUUGAAAACCGUUAGGUCCUUCGGGAUCUCCCGAGUUCGAAUCUCGGCCUCUCCG